rnacentral:lncRNA from 1 species
AGGGGAACUCCUAAUGUGGUUUUAUUUUCUUUUCCCUUAUCUCUUGUAUGUUUAGGAAUUUAACCCUUCUUUUUUCUUUUCUUUUUCUUUCUCCCCAUUCUAACCCAAGCCAAAACUUUUUGUGCAAACAAUAACUUUUGUUUUCAACAUUAGAAACCUAAGCCUUAUGCUUUUGAUUUUCAAACUUAUUUUUCAUAACACUUAUUUUGAAUUGAACCUUU